GAUGAACGCUGGCGGCGUGCCUAAUACAUGCAAGUCGAGCGAACGGACGAGAAGCUUGCUUCUCUGAUGUUAGCGGCGGACGGGUGAGUAACACGUGGAUAACCUACCUAUAAGACUGGGAUAACUUCGGGAAACCGUAGCUAAUACCGGAUAAUAUUUUGAACCGCAUGGUUCAAAGGUGAAAGACGGUCUUGCUGUCACUUAUAGAUGGAUCCGCGCUGCAUUAGCUAGUUGGUAAGGUAACGGCUUACCAAGGCAACGAUGCAUAGCCGACCUGAGAGGGUGAUCGGCCACACUGGAACUGAGACACGGUCCAGACUCCUACGGGAGGCAGCAGUAGGGAAUCUUCCGCAAUGGGCGAAAGCCUGACGGAGCAACGCCGCGUGAGUGAUGAAGGUCUUCGGAUCGUAAAACUCUGUUAUUAGGGAAGAACAUAUGUGUAAGUAACUGUGCACAUCUUGACGGUACCUAAUCAGAAAGCCGCGGCUAACUACGUG
rnacentral:rRNA from 1 species